ensembl:lncRNA novel transcript
CACCCUGGGGCCCUGCAGAGUCCCUGCCAGCAAGAGGGCCCUCACCAGAUGCACCCCCUAGACUUGGACUUCCCAGCCUCCAGAAAUGACUUCAUGUGCAAGCGCUUUGCCUUAAUGAGUACUGCAGCAAAUGCACAGUGAGGGACUCUUACCCAAGAAACCUAGAAUGAAAUCUGUGCUGCCUGCUACAACCUGUGGCUUUGGAUUUUCUCGAGGCCCCAGAGCGUCAGAGGAAGUUUUCCGAAUGGCACUCUGCGUGGGAAGGAGCUUGUGCACGUGCACGCUGCCACCAUCUGCCCUCAGCGCUGAUUCAGGAGGCGCUUCUCAACUAUAGCCCACAGUGUGACAACUGAACGUGUCCCCUCACGUUUCCAAAUACGGGGGGUGCAGGAGGCACUGCUCACUGUUGCACCCCCUGACCCACGCUGCCAGUCCUGCCCUCACUGCUGGGUGCUCACUGGGACCCUGGAAAGGUCUAGCUGAGCCUUUUAGGGCAUGAGGAUGUUGGGAGAAUAGAGGUGGCUCCUCUGAGAAGCCUGAGAAGUGUGAGUGUAUAAAUGCAGGCUGAGGUCGUGUCUCCCUGGGAUUGAAUUCACCCAACCUCACCCUCCGUGUAGCGCAAAUGCCCAGCUCCUCC